CAGAGGGUGCGAGCGUUAAUCGGAUUUACUGGGCGUAAAGCGUGCGUAGGCGGCUUUUAAGUCGGAUGUGAAAUCCCCGAGCUUAACUUGGGAAUUGCAUUCGAUACUGGGAAGCUAGAGUAUGGGAGGGGAUGGUAGAAUUCCAGGUGUAGCGGUGAAAUGCGUAGAGAUCUGGAGGAAUACCGAUGGCGAAGGCAGCCAUCUGGCCUAAUACUGACGCUGAGGUACGAAAGCAUGGGGAGCAAACAGGAUU
rnacentral:rRNA from 1 species